rnacentral:rRNA from 1 species
UGCCGCGUGCAGGAUGACGGCCCUAUGGGUUGUAAACUGCUUUUAUACGGGAAGAAACGCACCUACGAGUAGGUGUCUGACGGUACCGUAAGAAUAAGGACCGGCUAACUCCGUGCCAGCAGCCGCGGUAAUACGGAGGGUCCGAGCGUUAUCCGGAAUCAUUGGGUUUAAAGGGUCCGUAGGCGGGCAUAUAAGUCAGGGGUGAAAGUUUGCGGCUCAACCGUAAAAUUGCCUUUGAUACUGUAUGUCUUGAGUUAUAGUGGAGUUGCCGGAACAUGUGGUGUAGCGGUGAAAUGCAUAGAUAUCACAUAGAACACCGAUCGCGAAGGCAGGUGACUAACUAUAUACUGACGCUGAUGGACGAAAGCGUGGGGAGCGAACGGGAUUAGAUACCCCGGUAGUCCACACCGUAAACGAUGGAUACUAGCUGUCGGGACUUCGGUCUCGGCGGCCAAGCGAAAGUGAUAAGUAUCCCACCUGGGGAGUACGUUCGCAAGAAUGAAACUCAAAGGAAUUGACGGGGGCCCGCACAAGCGGUGGAGCAUGUGGUUUAAUUCGAUGAUACGCGAGGAACCUUACCAGGGCUUAAAUGUAAGUUGCAUGGGGCAGAGACGCCCCUUUCUUCGGACCACUUACAAGGUGCUGCAUGGUUGUCGUCAGCUCGUGCCGUGAGGUGUCAGGUUAAGUCCUAUAACGAGCGCAACCCCUACCGUUAGUUGCCAGCAUUUAAAGAUGGGGACUCUAGCGGGACUGCCGGUGCAAACCGAGAGGAAGGUGGGGACGACGUCAAAUCAUCACGGCCCUUACGUCCUGGGCCACACACGUGCUACAAUGGCCGGUACAGAGGGAAGCCACCACGCAAGUGGGCGCGGAUCUAUAAAACCGGUCACAGUUCGGAUCGGGGUCUGCAACUCGACCCCGUGAAGCUGGAAUCGCUAGUAAUCGGAUAUCAGCCAUGAUCCGGUGAAUACGUUCCCGGGCCUUGUACACACCGCCCGUCAAGCCAUGGAAGCUGGGAGUGCCUGAAGUCCGUCACCGUAAGGAGCGGCCUAGGGCAAAAUCGGUAACUAGGGCUAAGUCGUAACAAGGUAGCCGUACCGGAAGGUGCGGCUGGAACACCUCCUUUCU